rnacentral:rRNA from 1 species
GACGAACGCUGGCGGCGUGCCUAAUACAUGCAAGUCGAGCGAAGACUACCUGGUGCUUGUACUAGUAAAACUCAGCGGCGGACGGGUGAGUAACAAGUACAGAACCUACCUCAUAGUCAGGGACAACUAAUGUAAACGAUAGCUAACAACGGAUAACAGUCAUUCUACCAAGACAUCUAAUUAAAAGUUGGGUUUGCUAACACUAUGAGAUGGCUUUGCGGUGCAUUCGCUAGUUGGUGGGGAAGAGGCACCCCAAGGCGACGAUGCAUAGCCGACCUGAGAGGGUGAUCGGCCACACUAGAACUGAAACACGGCCCAGACUCCUACGGGAGGCAGCAGUAGGGAAUCUUCCGCAAUGGGCGAAGGCCUGACGGAGCAACGCCGCGUGAGUGAAGAAGGAUUUCGGUUCGUAAAGCUCUGUUGUUUGGGAAGAAGGGAUAUGUAGUAACUAUACAUGUAAGAGACGGUACCUAACCAGAAAGCCACGGCUAACUACGUG